rnacentral:rRNA from 1 species
AGCGAACGCUGGCGGCAGGCCUAACACAUGCAAGUCGAACGAAGUCUUCGGACUUAGUGGCGGACGGGUGAGUAACACGUGGGAACGUGCCUUUAGGUUCGGAAUAACUCAGGGAAACUUGUGCUAAUACCGAAUGUGCCCUUCGGGGGAAAGAUUUAUCGCCUUUAGAGCGGCCCGCGUCUGAUUAGCUAGUUGGUGAGGUAAAGGCUCACCAAGGCGACGAUCAGUAGCUGGUCUGAGAGGAUGAUCAGCCACAUUGGGACUGAGACACGGCCCAAACUCCUACGGGAGGCAGCAGUGGGGAAUCUUGCGCAAUGGGCGAAAGCCUGACGCAGCCAUGCCGCGUGAAUGAUGAAGGUCUUAGGAUUGUAAAAUUCUUUCACCGGGGACGAUAAUGACGGUACCCGGAGAAGAAGCCCCGGCUAACUUCGUGCCAGCAGCCCGCUGUAACAC